CCCGAGCCAUCUGUAUUGUUCUGUAGCAUCAAUAUCAAGAUCAAGAUCACCAAGUCCACCAUUGUUAGUGUUAUGGUGGUCAGCUGAUCAGGCCUGACACGUAAUUCCUUCAGUAUUUCCCUUGUGUCAGAAUGUCCACGAUGGUCAACAAAUAUGAUGCACUCAAGAAUAAUGAGGAAUCUGGAGAAGAGGACAAUGGUGGCAGGGAUUUGAAGGAGAUGGAAAAGCCUUUGCCACCAGUGGAGGUGAAGCCUGGAGACCAUCGGCUACAGUUCACCUACAACAUUUGGUUCAGCCGAAGAGCACCAGGCAAGCAGGCAACCACGCAGAACUAUGAUCAGAACCUCAAAUUAAUUGGCAGAUUUGCCUCAGUGGAGCAGUUUUGGGCUUACUACAGUCGUCUGGUACGACCAGCAGACCUCAACUCUCACUCGGACAUACACAUCUUCAAGGAUGGCAUCAAGCCCAUGUGGGAGGAUGCGGCCAACAAAAAUGGAGGCAAGUGGAUAGUGCGGUUAAGGAAGGGCCUUGCCUCCCGGUGCUGGGAGAACAUGAUCCUGGCCAUGCUGGGGGAACAGUUCAUGGUUGGAGACGAGAUAUGUGGUGCAGUCAUUUCUGUACGCUUUCAGGAGGACAUCAUCUCAGUGUGGAACCGGACGGCACAGGACACGGCCACCACCACUCGUAUCCGAGACACACUCAAGCGUGUGCUCAACCUGCCGCCCAACACCGUCAUGGAAUACAAGACUCACAAUGACUCCCUCAAGCCUCUUGCACUGACCCUCGCUAGGCACACCCACCACUCCACCAGCAGCUUCCUCCGCAAACCUGGCCCCCUCCACUGAUGUCUCCAUCCCCACAACCUUCCCUAUUUGCCUGGAAGUGAGAAGGAGGAGGAGGAGGAAGGAAGGGAAGUCUGUUCGGGAAAGGAGGGGAGAGGCAGAUUAUACUGGAAUUCAGGCGAGGCACCGGCUAUUCCCUGUUUGGCUGUAGAUCACUCCAGCUUCCGCAACACCAGGGCGGACGGCUACAACCACAGAGCUGAGUCCUUCCCGAGAUAAGAUGGUGUGGUUACCCUCAGAUAGUCCUGCCAGUCGCCUCCAGCCUCCACCUCACUCCUUGUAUACAUAGCUGCUAAAUAGACCUUUAUCAAGUCAC
rnacentral:misc_RNA from 1 species